rnacentral:lncRNA from 1 species
AUGUAAACUGUGAAAAAAAAUGUAAGGGAUGCUGCAGAUCUUAGGCUAUGAAGAUUCUGCCACCUUUUGAAGCUUCUGCUGUUUCUGGGAAUUUUCUGCAGAAUUUUGAUGAAACAGAGGAAAGGAAAUGGAACAGAGGAAAAGAAAUUUAUUCAGAUUCCUUUUAAACCUUGACCGUGUAUCUCCCUUACAAUUUCAUUGCCUUAUUUAUACUAAAACUAAAAACUGAAAAAACAAGUUUUAAUCCGAGCAUCACGCCACGUUACGUAACUGUCGGAUUGAAUGAAGAUAAGUGCUGACUAAUUCAGAAAACUAAAACAUGCAGAAACAGAAACAGAUUCGGAAAUGUGCAACG